rnacentral:rRNA from 1 species
UACAGAGGGGGCAAGCGUUGUUCGGAAUUACUGGGCGUAAAGGGCGCGUAGGCGGCCUGUUAAGUCGGACGUGAAAUCCCUCGGCUCAACCGGGGAACUGCGUCCGAUACUGGCGGGCUUGAAUUCGGGAGAGGGAUGUGGAAUUCCAGGUGUAGCGGUGAAAUGCGUAGAUAUCUGGAGGAACACCGGUGGCGAAGGCGGCAUCCUGGACCGACAUUGACGCUCAUGCACGAAAGCGUGGGGAGCAAACAGG